CGAGCGGAGAGAAGUAGCUUGCUACUGAUCUUAGCGGCGGACGGGUGAGUAAUACUUAGGAAUCUGGCUAUUAGUGGGGGACAACAUUUCGAAAGGGAUGCUAAUACCGCAUACGUCCUACGGGAGAAAGCAGGGGAUCAGUAAUGACCUUGCGCUAAUAGAUGAGCCUAAGUCGGAUUAGCUAGUUGGUGGGGUAAAGGCCUACCAAGGCGACGAUCUGUAGCGGGUCUGAGAGGAUGAUCCGCCACACUGGGACUGAGACACGGCCCAGACUCCUACGGGAGGCAGCAGUGGGGAAUAUUGGACAAUGGGGGGAACCCUGAUCCAGCCAUGCCGCGUGUGUGAAGAAGGCCUUAUGGUUGUAAAGCACUUUAAGCGAGGAGGAGGGUACUGGUAUUAAUACUACCAGCUACUGGACGUUACUCGCAGAAUAAGCACCGGCUAACUCUGUGCCAGCAGCCGCGGUAAUACAGAGGGUGCGAGCGUUAAUCGGAUUUACUGGGCGUAAAGCGUGCGUAGGCGGCUAAUUGAGUCGGAUGUGAAAUCCCCGAGCUUAACUUGGGAAUUGCAUUCGAUACUGGUUAGCUAGAGUGUGGGAGAGGAUGGUAGAAUUCCAGGUGUAGCGGUGAAAUGCGUAGAGAUCUGGAGGAAUACCGAUGGCGAAGGCAGCCAUCUGGCCUAACACUGACGCUGAGGUACGAAAGCAUGGGGAGCAAACAGGAUUAGAUACCCUGGUAGUCCAUGCCGUAAACGAUGUCUACUAGCCGUUGG
rnacentral:rRNA from 1 species